UACGGAGGGGGCUAGCGUUGUUCGGAAUUACUGGGCGUAAAGCGCACGUAGGCGGAUUGUUGAGUCGGGGGUGAAAUCCUGAGGCUCAACCUCAGAACUGCCUUCGAUACUGGCGAUCUUGAGUUCGGAAGAGGUUGGUGGAACAGCUAGUGUAGAGGUGAAAUUCGUAGAUAUUAGCUAGAACACCAGUGGCGAAGGCGGCCAACUGGUCCGAUACUGACGCUGAGGUGCGAAAGCGUGGGGAGCAAACAGG
rnacentral:rRNA from 1 species